rnacentral:rRNA from 1 species
AUUGAACGCUGGCGGCAUGCUUUACACAUGCAAGUCGAACGGCAGCACGGGGGCAACCCUGGUGGCGAGUGGCGAACGGGUGAGUAAUGCAUCGGAACGUGCCCCAGACUUCGGGAUAACGCUUCGAAAGGAGUGCUAAUACCGGAUACGAACUCCUUGGGCAUCCUUGGGGUUGGAAAGUUUUUCGGUCUGGGAUGGGCCCGCGGCCUAUCAGCUUGUUGGUGAGGUAACGGCUCACCAAGGCGACGACGGGUAGCCGGCCUGAGAGGGCGACCGGCCACACUGGGACUGAGACACGGCCCAGACUCCUACGGGAGGCAGCAGUGGGGAAUAUUGCGCAAUGGGCGAAAGCCUGACGCAGCAACGCCGCGUGAGGGAUGACGGCCUUCGGGUUGUAAACCUCUUUCAGCAGGGAAGAAGCGAAAGUGACGGUACCUGCAGAAGAAGCACCGGCUAACUACGUGCCAGCCGCCGCAGUAAGAC